rnacentral:rRNA from 1 species
UAGGGAAUAUUGCACAAUGGGCGCAAGCCUGAUGCAGCAACGCCGCGUGCGCGAAGAAGGCCUUCGGGUUGUAAAGCGCUUUCUGGAGGAAGAGGAAGGACGGUACUCCAGGAAGAAGGAUCGGCUAACUACGUGCCAGCAGCCGCGGUAACACGUAGGAUCCGAGCGUUAUCCGAAUUUACUGGGCGUAAAGCGCGUGUAGGCGGCUGGGUAAGUUGGACGUGAAAUCUCCCGGCUCAACUGGGAGGGGUCGUACAAGACUGCCUGGCUAGAGGGCGGUAGAGGGAGGUGGAAUUCCCGGUGUAGUGGUGAAAUGCGUAGAUAUCGGGAGGAACACCAGUGGCGAAAGCGGCCUCCUGGACCGCCCCUGACGCUCAGACGCGAAAGCUAGGGGAGCGAACGGGAUUAGAUACCCCGGUAGUCCUAGCCGUAAACGAUGUGGACUGGGCGUCGGUGGGGUAAAAUCCGCCGGUGCCGAAGCCAACGCGAUAAGUCCACCGCCUGGGGACUACGGCCGCAAGGUU